rnacentral:rRNA from 1 species
AACGAACGCUGGCGGCAUGCCUAACACAUGCAAGUCGAACGAGACCUUCGGGCCUAGUGGCGCACGUGUGCGUACCACGUGGGAACUUGCCCUUAGGUUCGCUAUAACUCCCCGAAAGAGGUCCUAAUACCGGAUAAUGUCUUCGCGCCAAAGAUUUUUGGCUUUUGGAUGGGCGCGCGUUGGUUUCGCUGGUUGGUAGGGUACAAGCCUGCCAAGGCGACGAUCCAUAGCUGGUCUGUGAGGAUGAUCAGCAACACUGGAGCUGAGACACGGCCCAGAAUCGUACGGGAGGGAGCAGAGGGGUGUAUUGGGCGAGGGGCGAAAGCCUAGUCCAGCAAUGCCGCGGAAGUGAUGAAGGCCGUAGUGUUGUAAAUCUCUUUGUCCCGAGAUGAUAAUGACAGUACCGGGAGAAUAAGCUCCGGCUAACUCCGUG